rnacentral:rRNA from 1 species
AACGAACGCUGGCGGUAUGCUUUACACAUGCAAGUCGAACGAACUGUUGGUAGCUUGCUAUCAACAGUUAGUGGCAAACGGGUGAGUAACGCGUGGGAAUCUGCCCUAUAGUACGGAAUAGCCGUUGGAAACGACGAUUAAUACCGUAUAUCUUCCCAGGAAGAAAGACUUGUCGCUAUAGGAUGAGCCCACGUUAGAUUAGUUUGUUGGUAGGGUAAUGGCCUACAAGACUACGAUCUAUAGCUGGUUUGAGAGGAUGAUCAGCCACACUGGAACUGAGAUACGGUCCAGACUUCUACGGAAGGCAGCAGUGAGGAAUAAUUGGAGGAACCUGAUCCAGCAAACCGCGUGGUGAUGAAGGCUUUAGGGUUGUAAAACUACUUUCAGUAGGGAUGAUAAUGACGGUACCUACAGAAGAAGCACCGGCU